rnacentral:lncRNA from 10 species
GCCAAAUAUGAGUGACCACAGCCAUGACAUAGCUCUUGGGAGGUCCUGAGAACAUGUGCCCAAGGUGGUUGGGGCGCAGCUUGGUUUUAUAUAUUUUAGGGAGGCAUGAGGCAGCAAUCAAAUACAUUUAAGAAAUACAUUGGUUUGGUUCAGAAAGGCGGGACAGCUCAAAAGCAAGGUGGGGAGGGGGCCUUCCAGGCUAUAGGUAAAUUUAAACAUUUUCUGGUUGGCACUUGGUUGAGUUGUCUAAAGACCUGGGAUCAAUAGAAAGGAAAUGUUCAGGUUAAGAUGAAAGAUUGUGGAGACCAAGGUUCUUUUUAAGUCUUAUAGUGGCUCCCCUUGGAGACAAUAGAUGACAAAUGUUUCCUAAUCAGACCUUUAAAAAGGUGCUAAGACUCUUACUUCAUCUCUUCAGGGUUGGGAGGGCCUGGAAGAAAACGAUCUAGCUCUGUGAAUAGAGAUUCUUUACAGAUGCACGUUUUCCCCCACAAAGGACAGCUUUGCAGGGCCACUUCAAAAUAUGGCAAAGAAGCAUGUUUUGGGAUGAAAUACUUUUUCUUCCUUGACUCGUAAUGUUAUGCCAGAGUCAGGUUGGAAAGUAAGUCACGAUAUAUAGGGCUAAAUAAAGCCCAUCUGAUGAGAAUGUAUGGUUUUUAGGGCAUGACUCCCCAGACGCCUUAGAUAGGAAUUUGGGCAAGAUAAAAAAUAUCAGAGCUUAGUCCUCACAGGGAAUGGAGGUGGGGGAGCAGAUGUGUUAUAGGAAAGGGGUCCUGAUCCAGACCCCACGAGAGGGUUCUUGGAUCUCACACAAGAAAGAAUUCAAGGCGAGUCUGCUGUGCAAAGUGAGAGCAAGUUUAUCAAGAAAGUAAAGGAAUAAAAGAAUGGCUACUCCAUAGAUAGAGCAGCCCCCGGGGCUGCUUGUUGCCCAUUUUUAUGGUUAUUUCUUGCUGAUAUGCUAAACAAGGGGUGGAUUAUUCAUGCCUCCCCUUUUUAGACCAUAGAGGAUGACUUCCUGAUGUUGCCAUGGCAUCUGUGAACUGUGGCGCUGGUGGGAGUGUAGCAGUGAGGACGACCAGAGGUCACUCUCGUCGCCAUUUUGGUUUUGAUGGGUUUUGGCCGGCUCCUUUACUGCAACCUGUUUUAUCAGCAAGGUCUUUAUGACCUGUAUUUUGUAUCUCAUCCUGUGACUUAGAAUGCCUUAGCUGUCUGGGAAUGCAGCCCAGUAGGUUUCAGCCUCAUCUUACCCAGCUCCUGUUUAAGGUGGAGUUGCU